AUUGAACGCUGGCGGCAGGCCUAACACAUGCAAGUCGAACGAGUGGCGGACGGGUGAGUAAUGUCUGGGAAACUGCCCGAUGGAGGGGGAUAACUACUGGAAACGGUAGCUAAUACCGCAUACCAUCGGAUGUGCCCAGAUGGGAUUAGCUAGUAGGUGGGGAAACGGCUCACCUAGGCGACGAUCCCUAGCUGGUCUGAGAGGAUGACGAGCCACACUGGAACGGAGACACGGUCCAGACGCCUACGGGAGGCAGCAGUGGGGAAUAUUGCACAAUGGGCGCAAGCCUGAUGAAGCCAUGCCGGGUGUAGGAAGAAGGCCUUCGGGUUGUAAAGUACUUUCAGCGAGGAGGCGUUACUCGCAGAAGAAGCACCGGCUAACUCCGUGCCAGCAGCCGCGGUAAUAC
rnacentral:rRNA from 1 species